CGCGCCUUCCCGACUACGGACCAACCCUGAACCCUCUUUAUUCUUCCGCUCAUCGUCCUCCCGUCCUCCCUUCCAUGCGCCCUCCCUCACUUCAGCAAUGCACCACCCCAACCAGCCUCACAUCUCCCCCGCCACUCCCGGCGGCUCCCCCUCCUCAUCAUCUUUCGAUUUCAACAAGCGUGUCAAGAAACAACGAGGUAACUACAACUGUGGCCGCUGUGGUCUACCCAAAAAAGGCCACUCCUGCCACAUUCCUCCUGCCGCAACCACCACUCCAACUUCCGCCGACUCAUCUGCUUCCGUCUCCACCUCCACCUCUCGCCCCAACCCGCCGUCGCGUCAGCAGUACUCUCACCUCCGUAGAGCUCUCUCGUUUGACGAUAUUGAUUUCCGAUGCGAUUCGCCGGAGUCUGAAAUGGAUGAACCGGACUUGGAUCUGUUGGUUUCUGGUUCAGGGAGGUUGCCGGCAAGCUGUAUUUGGGAGGUGCUGAAGAGGCUCCCGCCAGCGGGACUAUUGGCGGCGGCCAGGGUGUGCAAGGGCUGGAGGGACACAGCAAGGCGGCUAUGGAGGGCGGCUGAGGAACUCAGGCUGAGGGUUCCACCCAGAGCUCAGCUUGGGUUUGUUGGAUCUUUGUUGCAGAAGUGUCCCGGACUUUUUAGACUGAGUCUUAGGAUGGAGAGUGACGUGGAUGCGACAAUGUUAGCUUGCAUUGCUUUCUCUUGCCCCAACCUCGAAUGUAUGGAGAUUUCCACAUCUGAUACUGCAGUUAAUCGGAUAACUGGUGAUGAAUUGAGUCGAUUUGUUGCUGAUAAACGUUGCCUUACAAGCCUUAAGAUGGAAGGAUGUUCAAAUCUUGGAGGUUUUGUCCUCUGUUCCUCAAGUCUGUCCACACUUUGGCUUUCAGAUCUGCAUUCUUUAUCUAAGACGGUCUUUAACUGUCCCAAUUUGAAAGAGGUUUCCCUAGAUUUUUCUCGCCAGGAAAAUGAUAAUACUGACCUUAUUUCCAUGGUUGAUGCAUUGGGAAGGAGUUGCUCUAGAUUACAAAAUAUACACAUUGCAUCAGUUCAGCUUUCUCACACUGUUGUGCUUGCUCUUACAGCCGCAAACUUAAGGGGGCUGCGAAUGCUUUCACUUGUUCUUGGAACUGAUAUCACAGACGCGUCUGUUGCUGCCAUUGCAUCGAGCUAUUCAAAAUUAGAAUUGCUUGAUCUAAGUGGGUCUAGCAUCAGCGAUAGUGGUAUUGGUAUGAUAUGCAAUGUGUUCCCUGCAACACUGUCAAGACUCCUCCUUGCUCUUUGUCCAAACAUAACUUCAAGUGGAAUUCAAUUUGCUACAGCUCAGUUGCCUCUUCUUGAACUCAUGGACUGUGGAAUGACCAUAUGUGACCCAAGUUCUCAGUGUCUAACCUCUGAUGGAAGUGGAGAUUGUGAGUUGCAGACAACAUUUCAGAACAAAUUACACCUUGUAUGCCAGAAGCUCAUUAUAAAACAUGGCCGUUUGAAGAAACUAAGCUUAUGGGGCUGUUCGGGCUUAGAUUCUUUAUAUUUAAAUUGCCCAGAACUUAAUGAUUUGAAUCUGAACUCUUGUAGAAACUUGGAUCCAGAAAGAUUACUUCUUCAGUGCCCCAGUUUAGAAAGUGUGUAUGCCUCAGGUUGUCAAAAAUUGUUGAUCAGAGCCAUUCAAAGCCAGGUCAAUAAUUUUGAUGCCGCAGAAAACCAUUGCCCAAGUAAACGUCUAGCUGAUAGCUCAAAGAGGGUUCGCGUCCCGCAUUUUCUCAGUCAACAGGUCAGUUGAUAUCCCUCACCCGUUUAUCCCUACGGGGUAUGAGUAGAUUUAUUGGUGCUUGGGGUGCUUCACUUGUCACAAAAAACAAAAAGAAAAAGCUGCACUUGGGCGGGGUUAUGGCACUAUUCCCUACGCACGAUUUGAGCAAUACCUCAAAUUUAGUAAGGGCCGGGCAAGUUUAACGUCACUCGUUCACUCAAAAAUUAUGGACAUAUUUCGUAUAUUUCAUUGUAUUUUUAUAUAAUUGGGUUAUCAUUGAACCAUGAAUUAAGAAUGAUAGACAAUUAGGCUUGAAUUGAUAUAUAAAAAAUAUAGGUCUGGUUGGGUUCUGCUGUAACCUGAUUCAAUCUAGAUAUCGAACAUGUCUCUAUAGGAGUACAAAAAUUGAAUAUUAUGUAGCCAUGAACAACAGUGCACAUCUUUUCUCGUGAUUGUUCUGUGUGAUUACAAGAGCCAUCAUAAAUUCAAGAUUUUUUCUAGAAUAUGUUUGGAUUAAGCUGUCUUACAUCAGUCUUUCUACCUUGUAGCCACUUGAUGAUUAUAAGAAGAGAAGGAGGAUUGGAGUUAGUCCUUGCAAUGUGGUUGUAGACUAAUAAUGUGUACCAGAAAAUUUUCUUACUGUACACAGUAUUUGAUGUACCCUGUGAAUCGAUAUGUUUUAUAAUUGUUCAAAAUGGCGGUGUGGGUCAGCUGCCUUGUAGAAUUGCCUUUUCCUCAACACAGAAUUGUUUAGUUUCAAAGGGAAAACAGUAAUGUAUUGGGAGUUCUCACUGCUAUUCAUUUGUGGAAUAAAAAUCAAUGUAUCAGUGCAGUGUUCAAGCUGUUGCACUAAAAUCUGUACAAGAGCUUUGAGUUGAUCCUUCAUG
rnacentral:misc_RNA from 1 species